rnacentral:rRNA from 1 species
AACGAGCACCUCGAGUGGUCAGGAGGAUUAUUGGGCCUAAAGCAUCCGUAGCCGGCUCUGCAAGUUUUCGGUUAAAUCCAUUUGCUUAACAAAUGGGCUGCCGAAAAUACUACAUAGCUAGGGAGUGAGAGAGGUAGGCGGUAUUCGGUAGGAAGGGGUAAAAUCCUUUGAUCUAUUGAGGACCACCGAUGGCGAAGGCAGUCUACUAGAACACGUCCGACGGUGAGGGACGAAAGCGGGGGUAGCAAACCGG